GGUGAAUGUGGCAAGGAACACAAAACUCCAUAAGAUGUUGAUUAAUGGCUUGGGAAAAACCAGACUCACUGUGGGGUCCAGUUCCCCUCUGGCUAACAUCAUGAAUAUAAUUUAAAUAUUACUUAUGUAUAGUUCAAGUCAUGGUUUAAAAUUAUUAAACUAAGUGUUAAGGGUCAGUGUUUAAACAAAGAUUUUGUAUGAACUGUAAGAUUAAUGACUAAUGUCUUUGAAGUCCAUCCUGGAUUAACUACAGAAGUUCACAUAGAUGUAAUUGUCCUUUGUUAGUUGACUGAUGAAUUCAGUUCAUCAAUUUAUUGAUAGUCUUAUGUAUUCCAUUAUAAGAGUGUAGUCCAUCAAUAGACGAGGUCAUGCAGGCAGAGAUCAGUUAGGUGCAUCGCAGUUCAACCUGGCCAAUAAUUUCGGUGAGGUCUAUCCUAAAUCCAAGGUACAGGCAAUGGCAUAUGAAGUAUCCCAUGUCUUAUGGUUGGUGUUGGCAUCAGUUCAUCCUCUGAAGUCCAUCGUAAUAGACUGAAGUGAUGUUUGGCUGGCACCUGCUGCAUUUAGUCAUCAACAUUCAGCGACACGUAGCAGUGGAGUCCAACACUAAGCAGGAAGAGAGCUGGAUCCAGCCAGUUCUGGUGACCUCAGUAUAGAAGUCCCGAGGUUGAGACAGGGAAACAAAUAAAAUAAUCUAAGCAUAGAUGCCAUUCAAUUUAUUACAGAGUUAUAAAUCAUGAUCAAUGUUUCUGGUUUCUGGUUCCGGCAGACUAAACUAAAGCAGCCUAAUUGUGUGUAUGCCUGGCUAAAUAGAUGAGUCUUUAGUCUAGACUUAAACUGAGGGAGUGUGUCUGCAUCUUGAACAUUGUUAGGGAGACUAUUCCAUAUAUUAGGUGCCAAAUAUGAAAACGUCCUCCUUUUGUGGAUUUUGAUAUUCUGGGAACUAUUAAUAGGCAAGAAUUUUGCGAUCUUAAUGAACGUGUUGGAUUAUAGCGUGGUAGAAGGUCACUUAAGGACUGCGGAGCUAGACCAUUCAAAGCUUUGUACGUAGUUAACAGAAUUUUAAAAUUAAUACGGAAUUUAACAGGUAGCCAAUGUAACGAUGAUAAAAUGGGGCUAAUAUGAUCAUGGUUCUCAUCAGCACUCUGGAUGCUGCAUUUUGAACCAAUUGAAGUUUAUUUAUUGAUCUUGCUGGACAUCCUCCCAGUAAUGCAUUACAAUAAUCUAGUCUUGAGGUCAUGAAUGCAUGAAUUAGUUUUUCGGCAUCAGCAACAGAGAGCAUGCGCCUUAAUUUAGCAAUAUUUAUUAGGUGGAAGAAUGCUGUUCUAAAAACUCCAGAGAUUGUUGUGCAUUUGGGGCGGGGCUAUCUGUCUGUCUGUCAGACCAAUGGAAGAUGGGGGGAGUGUUUGUGAAAGCUGAUUGAAAACAUUGUUGCAGUUUCAUCUGGUGGCCUUUAUGGUGCAGAAAUUGCACACUUCACCUAUAAAUAAUCUUUUUGCAGUUUAAUUCUGAAAUUGUAUUUUGUACAUGCAUGGAUACAUUUAUGUGAUGUUAUUUUUACACUUGUAAUUACAGGGUAUUAAAUACCUCAGGACAAGAAGCUGACUGAAUAAUAAGUGGAGUUUUGUGAAAGGAUUAUCAUGUGAAUGGCACUCUUAAUGAUAUUUCAGUGUGGUUUCAAAACAAGUUUCUGCCUAUAGAAUACAAUUAGAUAUGGAAAGUAACCUUCAACCUGAGCUGGACCCUAAUAAAGAUGACCUGCCCCUGCGGGCUAACACCAACCAUAUGCUUGUCAGGCACUAUGUGCUUGACCUGACUGUUCACUUCCAAAGACAGGUCAUUGGUGGCAGUAUUGUUCUGUUUCUGGAGCCUGGAAGGGGUUCUUACAAACAAGGUGAACAGGGAUCUGUAUCAAACACACCAGUACAAGACUGUUGGAUGUCACCAUCUAAACAUGGUGGAAGUUCUCACAUUAUGCCAAAACAGGUGAUAUCUCAGAAGAUAUCAGGACCAUUACAUUUGAGUGAAGGAAAUGAUGAGAGUGAAGAAUUCACCUUGGUGCUGGAUUGUUGUGAUUUGCAUGUGUCAAUAGUGGAAGAGGUUGAUGUAACCACUGUACUUGAUUCAAAGAGGCUCGAUGUAGACCAGUUGUAUGCAAAUGCUGAUCAUACAACGUCUGGUCUGGUACAGAGGCUGAUCUCUUUUCCCUCAGCCUGCUGGAGACAGCAGCAAGAUCUGUAUCUCCAGUGCAGCCGUUCCCCUACUGUCCUAAAUGCACGUCCUCUACAGUUCCACAUGGACCAGUGGAGUCUGCAGAUAAAAAAAGAGGGAGUUUGCUCCCCCCAUGCUUUCCCAUGUGCUCUCAGAAUCUGGUAUGAAACUAAGCCCACAGGUGGUUCUGUUAGAUGGACAAAGGACCAAGAUGGCAGAUGCUGUGUAUAUACCAUGGGCUCACCCAUCAACAACAGAGCCCUCUUCCCAUGCCAAGAGCCCCCUGUUGCCAUGUCAACAUGGCAGACUCAUGUGAGAGCUCCAUGUGAUUACACUGUUCUAAUGAGUGGUGAAAAUCAAGCCUCUCCUAAGCCUGUGGAGACAGGAUUUCUAAAGUGGGAUUAUCAUGUUACAAUGCCAAUGCCAGCCUCUACCUUUACCAUAGCAGUAGGACAAUGGCUAAAGGCUGGAGUUCCCAACGCUGAGGUGGAAAAAACUAAAGAAGCCUAUGUUGAAACACCCUUUGCUUCUUUGGACAACAUACGGUCCAGGCCUACAGAUCAACGGCAAGAGAAUCUAAUUGCAUGCCAUUUAUCAGAGCAAGGAGAUGAUCAGCAAUAUGUUUGCGCCCACAUUGAUUAUCCUUGUCGCUUCAUGGUCAGUGAUGCAAGUGCACAGACUGUUAUUCCUCACCGGGUAUUUGCCCCACCCUGUCACCUGAAGAAAGCAGAAGACAUGAUUCUUCCUCUGCUGCCCCUCUGUCUGACUGCUGCCCACUCUGUUCUUGGCGUCCAUCCUUUCUCACGCCUUGAUGUGCUCAUUGUACCGCCAGGGUUCUCUAGUCUGGGCAUGGCCAGUCCGCAUAUCGUGUUUCUGUCUCAGAGUGUGCUUUGGGGUGAGAAGAACCUCUGCGGGGCGAGAUUGUGCCAUGAGAUCGCCCACUCCUGGUUUGGGCUGGCGAUUGGGGCACGGGAUUGGACCGAAGAAUGGAUCAGUGAAGGUUUUGCCACUUAUUUUGAAGAUGUGUUCUGGGCCCAAGUUCAGCAGUUGAGUAGAAGAGAGGCUGAAGAGCAGAGAAAGUUGAAGGCUCUAUUGCGCCAGAGGAGACUGAGUGAUGAGUUACAGAAUUCUGAAGAAGAGCUACAGGUCCUCAGGCCCAAUAGAGAGAACACAGGGGAAGCAAGUGAAUCUGGUGCUUCAGUGGUAAAACAUGCCCUCAAUCCAGAAAAAACCUUCAUGCAAGUUCACUAUUUGAAGGGCUACUUCCUCUUGAAGUUUCUGGCUGAUCAGGUUGGCGAGGAGGAGUUCCUUCUCUUCUUCAAAGCCUUUGUGAGAAAAUUCCACGGCCAGCUCAUCCUGUCUCAGGAUUUCCUCCAGAUGCUCCUGGACACAUUUCCCACAAUGAGCAGUCAAGGUGUCAAACUUGAAACAAUCUUCUCAAGCUGGUUGGAUACACCAGAAAUGCCAAAGUGGCUGACGGACGCCAGCUCAGAAUGGUUGAAGACUCCAACAGUGGAAGAAGUCAAAGAAGAGGUAGCAAAAUGGAUCCACUUCAGUGGCUCUGGUGGAAAGGGCUCCAAGCGGAAAAGAGCAGGGUCCAAGGUUAUCUUCAAAGAGUUGAGUCCAGAGCAGUUGGUGCUGCUGUUGGAGCUUCUUUUAGAGGAACCAACGCUGAGCAUCUCCACUUUGAGACUCUUGCAGACCACAUAUAACCUAAAGACUCAGGAUGCUGAGACCCAGCAGCUGCAGAGGGGAUCAGAGUUGAGUUGCAUUCCUGGGGAGACCCCUGAGGCAGGACAGCUGUGGUGUGCCUGCCUGCAUCUCUCUCUCAUUCUCAAGAGGUGAAACAUCGCUGGUGUGAACUGGUGGUCAAGCAUAAACACACAGCUGCAUACCAAGACGUUGAGCUCUUUCUGAUCCAUGACCAGGCCAUGGGUGUGUAUUUGUACGGUGAGCUGAUGGUCCAGGAAGAUGCUCGGCAGCAAGCUUU